GGAGCUUGCUCCCGGAUGUUAGCGGCGGACGGGUGAGUAACACGUGGGUAACCUGCCUGUAAGACUGGGAUAACUCCGGGAAACCGGAGCUAAUACCGGAUAGUUCCUUGAACCGCAUGGUUCAAGGAUGAAAGACGGUUUCGGCUGUCACUUACAGAUGGACCCGCGGCGCAUUAGCUAGUUGGUGAGGUAACGGCUCACCAAGGCGACGAUGCGUAGCCGACCUGAGAGGGUGAUCGGCCACACUGGGACUGAGACACGGCCCAGACUCCUACGGGAGGCAGCAGUAGGGAAUCUUCCGCAAUGGACGAAAGUCUGACGGAGCAACGCCGCGUGAGUGAUGAAGGUUUUCGGAUCGUAAAGCUCUGUUGUUAGGGAAGAACAAGUGCAAGAGUAACUGCUUGCACCUUGACGGUACCUAACCAGAAAGCCACGGCUAACUACGUGCCAGCAGCCGCGGUAAUACGUAGGUGGCAAGCGUUGUCCGGAAUUAUUGGGCGUAAAGGGCUCGCAGGCGGUUUCUUAAGUCUGAUGUGAAAGCCCCCGGCUCAACCGGGGAGGGUCAUUGGAAACUGGGAAACUUGAGUGCAGAAGAGGAGAGUGGAAUUCCACGUGUAGCG
rnacentral:rRNA from 1 species